rnacentral:lncRNA from 1 species
CAGAGCUUAGUUCUUUAUUAAUAAGUCUGGUGGUUCUUUGAGCAGUGUGUAACUUCCAUUGGGGAGCUCCGUGCGCACAGUGCACGCCGACCACCAGGUGGCAGUGUCGUCCCACAAGUUAACCUACAAAGGCUUUAAUGAGCCUUUGGAAGUAACGACGGUUUUCUUUUACCAGACAAAGUAAACCUUUCAUUUGUAAAAACCCAGUUGGCAUGUUUUACCCAAUCCUUUGAAGGAAGUUAUUUCUAAAGGUAUUUAUAGCUAGUUUCUAGAGGAUAGAUGUUCUAGGAGUUGACAAAUGGCCCAGAUUUCCAGCAACACUUCAUCCAUCCCAGCC